rnacentral:rRNA from 1 species
ACKGCUCAGUAACACGUGGCUAACCUACCCUCGGGACGGACACAACCCCGGGAAACUGGGGCUAAUACCCGAUAGGCGAAGACCCCUGGAACGGGUCCUCACCCAAAAGGCGUUAGGAUCAUGCUUUCUAACCUCGCCCGAGGACGGGGCCGCGACCGAUCAGGUAGUUGGUGAGGCAACGGCUCACCAAGCCUAUAACCGGUACGGGCCGUGGGAGCGGGAGCCCGGAGAUGGGAACUGAGACAAGGUCCCAGGCCCUACGGGGCGCAGCAGUCGCGAAAACUCUGCAAUGCACGAAAGUGUGACAGGGCUACCCCGAGUGCCGUCCGCUGAGGAUGGCUUUUCUCCGCUGUAAGGAGGCAGAGGAAUAAGGCGAGGGCAAGUCUGGUGUCAGCCGCCGCGGUAAUACCAGCUCUCCGAGUGGUGUGGAUGUUUAUUGGGCCUAAAGCAUCCGUAGCUGGCUAAGUUAGUCCCUUGUUAAAUCCACCGAAUUAAUCGUUGGAUUGCGGGGGAUACUGCUUGGCUAGGGGACGAGAGAGGCAGACGGUAUUUCCGGGGUAGGGGUGAAAUCCUAUAAUCCCGGGAAGACCACCAGUGGCGAAGGCUGUCUGCUAGAACGCGCCCGACGGUGAGGGAUGAAAGCUGGGGGAGCGGACCGGAUUAGAUACCCGGGUAGUCCCAGCUGUAAACGAUGCAGGCUAGGUGUUUGGACGGCCACGUGCCGUUCUAGUGCCGCAGGGAAGCUGUUAAGCCUGCCGCCUGGGGAGUACGAUCGCAAGAUUGAAACUUAAAGGAAUUGGCGGGGGAGCAC